rnacentral:rRNA from 1 species
AUUGAACGCUGGCGGCAUGCCUUACACAUGCAAGUCGAACGGUAACAGGUUAAGCUGCCGAGUGGCGAACGGGUGAGUAAUGUAUCGGAACGUGCCCAGUCGUGGGGGAUAACUGCUCGAAAGAGCAGCUAAUACCGCAUACGACCUGAGGGUGAAAGCGGGGGAUCGCAAGACCUCGCGCGAUUGGAGCGGCCGAUAUCAGAUUAGGUAGUUGGUGAGGUAAAGGCUCACCAAGCCGACGAUCUGUAGCUGGUCUGAGAGGACGACCAGCCACACUGGGACUGGAACACGGUCCAGCCGCCUACGGGGAGCAGCAGUGGGGAAUAUUGGAGGAUGGGCGCAAGCCUGACCCAGCCAGACCACGUGGGUGAAUAAGGCCGUCGGGUUGUAAAGCCCGUUUGUUGGGAAAGAAAAGCAGCAGGCUAAUACCCCGCGGUCAUGACGGGACCCGAAGAAUAAGCACCGGCUAACUUCGUG